rnacentral:lncRNA from 1 species
CGAUCACAGAUCACAUCCAUCUAUGAUAUGUAUAUGAUAGUGAAAAUCCUACCUCACUGAGAUAAUUACUUGUUGAUUUAAUUUCUGCUAUUUUCUCUUACUAGAUUUGUUGCAUAUAUGUUUUUAAAUAGAAUUCAUCUUGCCUGUGUAGUGCAUACACAUGAGGUGUGCACACACACACGUACACAUAUGCCAUCAUCUGUGUGCAUAAGCAUACUCAGGUGUUCAGACAGUGUCAUCCGGACUCUGCCUCUGCAUCUUUCAGUUCUGCUUCAACAUCGGCUCCUGCUUCAGUAGGCUGUGAAGGUGCUGCACUGAGACAACAUUACCGACUUUAUGAUAUGUGGUAGUUAAGAGUAUACAGAGGGGAAGAAAUCACAUCCAGUAAGUUGUUUGCUUAACAUACUUAUCAUAGUUCUCACUUAUAAGCUAAUUUAAGCAAUUUUUUAGGUAUACAUAUUCUAAGCUAAAUCUAGCAUAGCUUUAUUUUCUGAUCUCAAAGAAGAUCUUAAUUCCACUGAAAUUAUUGUUAUCAAUAUCACUGUUUCAUAUGCUUGUUAAUAUUUAGAUAUUGUGAUACCUACAUACAUACAUACAUAUUUGAUAAAAUAUAGCAAUAGAUAUACCUAGAAAUACAUCUACCUUUUUUAAUGAGGCUUUAGCUCAUGGCAACUUGACCACAAAAAAAGGAUGACUAUAGUAUCCAUAGUCGCAAUAUACAGGAGUAAUCCUACUUCAUUGAAGUACCUUUAUGAAAGGAUAGCAUUGUACUACAUUAAGGGUCAUAAAUUAUCAUGAUACUGAUGAAUGGAUUUGUUAGAGAAAAUAAGUAAAGUGGUAUUUAGUAUGUGAGAAUCAGUUAGCACUCAAAAUUUUAUUUUUUUCACUAACUUCUAUGAAACUUUCUAUUGUUUUCUUCUGGGAUUUGACUUCUCCAUUUGGCGAGCUGUCAUUUUGACAGGGGUUAACACCAAAGAUCAUCUUUCCGGAGGGCCAUUUUACUGGCAAGCUUGAAGACAGCUGUGGUGGGAUUUGCUUCACAUUAAACCCAGUUUAGAGGAGAAUGCAGAGUCCCCCAGGUAUGCUGUUAAAGCAGGGCAUGCCAAAGUAAUAUCUUGCUUGGUUGCCACUUUGAACUGCUUUCUCUUUAUAUUGUUGAAGCAGAUUUUUUUCCCUCCGCCAUUAAAGGUAUUAAUUGUAAGUGCUUGAGAAGCACUUGUCACAAAGCACCUCUGCUCCUACUCCCAUUUAUUUAGUUGUAGCUUUCAAAAC